rnacentral:snRNA from 1 species
GGCAAUGAAUGAAUUAACCAAC